ensembl:lncRNA
GCCAGGCCAGCUACAAAGACAAAACCAACACCCAGGGCCCAGGAGAGAUGGAGUCUCCAGCCUUAACAGAAAUAAGAAAUUGGCACUCAUCAAGUCAGCCAGCAGGCCUAGGAGGGCUCCACACACUCAGCCUCUCCCAGCAUCUCAGUGACUGAAGGAGACAUUGUGCUGUAACCCAGAUGGGAGUGGCCGUUUUCAAGAGGAGCACUGCACCAUCUAGAGGAGUCGCCAUUUUAAAUUUCUCCUUUAGACCCUGUCUGAUUUUAUGUUAAAGAUUUUUUUGCAUCAUGGACAGUGCAUGUAGCACAUAUUUGCUGUGGCCUGGAGGAAGAGCAGGCAAGAGACUUGCAUGACCUCAGUCAUGUCAGUUUCCCCUUGGAGUCCAUUUCCUCAUCCAUAAAGUAAAGGUCUUGAGCCAAGCGACCAUCAAGGUCCAUUUUGGCUCUAAGAUUCUGUGAUGCUCUGCUUAUAGGAUGGCAGCACGGUGACCUGAAGGAGUUAAUUCAUCUUGCAGAAUAUUUCAAACCUUGCAUCAGCACAGGUGAGACACAGAAUAGAAGGAGAAUCACCCCCCACCCCCUUCCCAAGAAGACAAAGCUGCCCAUCAUUUGCCUUUAAUCUGUUUUCUUAAUUUUCUUCCUAAGGAAAGUCACAGUUCCAAUCAGCCCUCUAAUCAAUGGCUGCACUACUCCUGCACAAAUGAGCUAGAUUUAUUAAAGGAGUCCGCUCUUCGAUGGAAAUGGGCUCCCUGCUGGGGCUGCAAAUACAGGCUAAGAUUGACUGCUCCCAGAAUAGGCAAAGAUGUAAAGAAAAUGAGAGGAGGCAAGUGAUGGGGAAGAAGGCACCCAAGGCCUCUAUACGACCACCCCACCACCAUGACCAUGAAUGGAUGGUCACUGGUGACAACCUGGAUGUUUGCAUCUCAUUCAGUCUGAUCUUGGGCACAGUAACCAGUAGCGAUUCAUGAGUAAACAUCGUCUGUCACUUCUCUAAAUGCGCUAAGAAAAGAAGCUCACCGAAAAGAAGCUCACGGAGAACAUAGUAAAGGAGAGGCUCUUCCUGGGGAGAACCUCACAGAAACCAAGAGCUUAUAGGCUGUCAGAGUUGGAAAGAAACUUUGAUGAUGAUGGACAGCCACGAACUGAGGGGAUAUUCUGUGAAGGGACCCCAAUAUUUCUGACUCAUGGAUGGCCAGAAGCAGAAGAAAUUAAUAUUUCAAGACUGUAAGAAAUUAUUCAUAUUAGAUAAAAAUUAAAUAUUUGCAUAUCCAUAUUUGGGGGCUGAGAGCUCCUUGUUAAUAGGAAGUGGACACUUUGUUAUAUACAGAAGAAGCCGAUGGAGAAAAUUGGGACCAAAAAAACUUAAUCUGUCCCACAAAAUGUCAAGCUCUGCCUUCAUUGUGGUUUUGUUCAACAUGUCAGCCUGAGAGAGAGCAAUCUGGAAAAACAAACCAGUUACAAGAUGGUGAGAAGAAACAACGUAGCAAAGAUCCAGAGCAAAAUAGACAUGAAGAUGAUGAGGUUCAAGCAGGAAGGAUUUGUGGAAUGUGUAAACAGUCCUCAGACAAACCUCCCUUCCAAACCGUGGGACCCUGGAAGAAGGCUUGACUUUCUAUGGUUAGAUGGAAAAGGGGGUUGGAGCUGAUUCUGAAUAAUAAAGGGAAGGAUGGAGAACCUCUGAAGGCUGGAGAACUCAGGGUCAUCUGGAUUCUCUAAGGAACAAAAUGCAGAGGAAGACAUUAAGUGAUGUGCCCAGGGUCACACAGCUAGUUAGUGACAGAGACAAUUUCAGACAGAGACUUUGAGAUUCUUAAUCUUGAGUUCUAGACCCACAUAGACCCACCACAUCUCUCCCCACCUUGCAAAGCCCAGCCAAGCUUUUAAGUGACUGGCGCUUACUACCCAGAGAGGGAGAGCGGGAGAAAGAGGGCAGAGAGGAGAGGGUCGGGUGGGAGGCGGAGGAGGGGAUUCAUUCAGUGUUCAAGAGAAGUAUCCUUUCUAGACUUAUUCUGGUUGCUCACUUUUUUUGAGCUGGUUCUGCUUUUUGAGACUUGCAGCCUGUUGAGAGUUAAAAGAUGAGUUAAUCCGCUUGUUUUUACAGAUGAGAAAAGCUGCCCAGAGAGUGGAAGUGGCUUGCCUAAAAUUAUUAACAACUAAGAGUGAAAGUGUGUUUGGAAGAAGAGAACAAAAGCAGCAAAGACAAAGUGCGGAGGGAAAAGAAAGAAAAAGAAUUAUCCCAGUAAGGCUGCAGCUGGACUCCAGGGAGUAGGUUUGGGAUUAACCCUUGGAUGUCUUCCCUAACUAUGCCAGCUCCCUUACUCUUCCCUUCCUUGGGUCUUGAAAAUAACCAUGCUGUCCUGAUUUACCUCGUGUGAGUGUUGUUGUGGGAACUGGAUUCCAGGGCGUGCCCCAUACCACAUGCUUUUCUUCUAUCAAACACCUCACACAACUCGGAAUACGCAGUUCAUGCUCAAUAAACAUCUGCUUGUUGAUUAAUCUUUGAGAAAACCAGUAAACUU